UACGGAGGGUGCGAGCGUUGUCCGGAAUCAUUGGGCGUAAAGGGCGCGUAGGUGGCCCGGUCAGUUCGUGGUGAAAGCGCGGGGCUCAACCCUGCGUCGGCCAUGAAUACUGCCGCGGCUGGAGCACUGUAGAGGCAGGCGGAAUUCCGGGUGUAGCGGUGGAAUGCGUAGAGAGCCGGAAGAACACCGGUGGCGAAGGCGGCCUGCUGGGCAGUUGCUGACACUGAGGCGCGACAGCGUGGGGAGCAAACAGG
rnacentral:rRNA from 1 species